GAGGGGGUCGCGGCUGAUUAGCUAGUUGGUGGGGUAACGGCCCACCAAGGCAAAGAUCAGUAGCCGGCCUGAGAGGGCGCACGGCCACACUGGAACUGAAACACGGUCCAGACUCCUACGGGAGGCAGCAGUGGGGAAUUUUGCGCAAUGGGGGAAACCCUGACGCAGCAACGCCGCGUGGAGGAUGAAGUCCCUUGGGAUGUAAACUCCUUCCGAUCGGGACGAUAAUGACGGUACCGGAAGAAGAAGCACCGGCUAACUCUGUGCCAGCAGCCGCGGUAAUACAGAGGGUGCAAGCGUUGUUCGGAAUUAUUGGGCGUAAAGGGCGCGUAGGCGGUGCGGUAAGACUGUGGUGAAAUCUCCGGGCUCAACUCGGAAAUUGCCGCGGUGACUGCCGUGCUGGAGUGUGGGAGAGGUGAGUGGAAUUCCCGGUGUAGCGGUGAAAUGCGUAGAUAUCGGGAGG
rnacentral:rRNA from 1 species